CAUGUGUCUCAGGCAGCAGCACCACAGAGGUGCUGCGGUGUCCUCGCUAUGUCUGAGAAGGUGAAUCAUUGCAUGCACCGGUGUUUCAUGAUGGCCUCGUCAGUUGAGGAGAUACCCUGUGGACCACCUGUCUAUUUACCUUGUUGCUAGCCUGAGUUUAUUUCCAUCCGGCCUUCCAACUCAAGAACUGAGAGGUGCUGUGGGCAGAGCUCGCCUACCUGCUGAGGUACUGGCUUCCUCCGGCUUCUCCAAGGUGUCUUAGGAAAGAAAACAACUGAAUUAUAGCUCCAUGCUGCCACCCUUCAGAACUGCUUUUGGGGAGGGCUGCUUUCCAAACCGAGGCUCAACUGGCUGUCUGUGAAUCAGUCAUUUCCACAGUGUCCGACCGUGGGAAGAACACCUGGCUUCUUCAUCGGCUCACAGAGGCCUCGCUGAGUAGUCAAGGCCUCUCAAUUGCUUGAAGCCAGUUAAGCAGGAGGGGCUCUGGAGAGAGGCAAGUUCCGUUUCUUUGGCUCUAGGGGUCCACAACAAAGGACCCCGUGAAGCCCCUACACGGUGAGGACAACGACAUCAGUUUUGUGGGCAGGCAGCACAUGCACGCCUUCUGGAGCCAGGAGCCAUAGCUUAGCUUGGAAUCCCAGAGGCUUUAUGAGCCCAGGAAGAUUAAGGCUCAAGAUGUCUAAUCUAAUCUCUUCAUUUAAGUGUUGAUACCAGAAUUGAGGUACGGAUGGUUCCUUGUGACAAACAGACUGACCCUCUUUAAUAGAACUCCAUCCAAAGCUUUCCCCUGAACCUUGCUUUCUUUCACUGAGCUAAUUUCUCUACUAUUACAAGCUACUCUGGGAGAGAGGAGGAUGCUUGGGAAAGUUACAUUGCCUUUUAAAGCCACAGGGGUAUCGUUUGGUGCAUUCCUGCUCAAGCAAUUAUUACCUUCUGAGAGCCUGCCGAGCGGCCUCCUGCCUUCCCUUUGGUCUCCGUGGGGACUCAUUAUGUU